AGCUAAGCUAGCCAGAUCAGAGUUUGAAUUUGUCCACUUAUCCUCGAUUGGAGGGAACGAACUAGAUGUGGUAUUUUUACAUAUAUAUAGAAGUUGCAAGUGAGCAACUGCAGAUGCUAUAUAUAUAUAUGUGUCCAUGCAGCUUUCCCCUUGCAGAUUAAGGAACAUGCAGGUUCUAGUGGAGUAGUAUUUUCUGCAUUCAGAUCUAGCUAGCUGUAGGCUGCGUUCCUCUGUGACCGUUCAGAUAAAAUACUACAGGUCCAUGAUUACGGUAAUAUGGUCAAUCAGUGAGUAAGUCAACAUGUCAGCUAGAUGUACGAAAAUUUGACUUUUCGUAUCGAAUUUUUUUAGUUACUGGAUAAUCCUAGCUAAUACUAGCUUGAUUAACGAGAAAGUACUGAAUGAGGAAAAACUAAGGCUGUGAGUAU
rnacentral:lncRNA from 1 species